rnacentral:rRNA from 1 species
ACAUGCCUACAACAUAAUGUUAAUGCAUCGGAUCCCAUUAGAACUCUGCAAUUAAGCGUGCUUAGGCUAGAGACUAGGAUGGAUGACCGCCCGUGAAGUCCUAUUGUUUUACAUGCC